rnacentral:lncRNA from 1 species
GCCUUCAGGAGUGUGCAAAACGCAUUUCUGUGGCUUAUAAUCCACCUUAUCUGUGGUAUUUUGUUACAGCAGCCCAAAUGGACGGAAACAACAGCUUUACCAGGAUCACAGGGAGCUCGCCAAAGGAAGGAGGCAUGCUCACCCUCAAUGCAGUGGGGCCACUGCUGGAGGUCACACGGUACUGCCCAGCUCAGAAACCGCAACAGAUGGGGCCGAGUGUGGGCCGUAAUUAGAGGCCACGGUGAGAGAGCAGAGUCAUCCAUCGGGCCCCAGAAAACCUCAUCAAAGGAAAGCAACGCAGAAUAAAGGCUCCCUAGGUUUGUUUUGGAAGAAAGGCUGGGAUUUUAUGUCCUGGCUCCUACAUGUACAAGAGGCCUGGCACUGGCUUGGGCCAUCCGAAUAAGAAACCCGGUGAUUAUGUGCUGUGGGCAGGGCUGGUCUGGUUUCUCAGUGCCACAUCCAUUUCCCGUGGUGGGUGGCAGGUCUAGAAGGCACAGCGGUGCCAAGCUUUCUCAGCUCUCUUCUCAGUGUGGGGAAGUUAGAGUAAGGCAAAGAGCAUAGUCUGGAAACGCACAGUGAGCCACUGUGAAGAUGGUUUGAACAAGAUGGCCAGGUUUCAACCAAAACUGCUAGUUCUUUACGA